UUAACUCAAAUAUGUAUGCAGUUAGAACGUUUGCCUACGUUUGCCGCUAGGAGCAGCGCUGUUUGAACUGCAUACAAAUUUGAGUUA
rnacentral:pre_miRNA from 1 species